rnacentral:rRNA from 1 species
GCGGACGGGUAAGUAACACGUAAGCAACCUGCCUAUCAGAGGGGAACAACAGUUAGAAAUGACUGCUAAUACCGCAUAUGCCUAAGCAUCACAUGGUGCAAUAGGGAAAAGAGCAAUCUGCUGAUAGAUGGGCUUGCGUCUGAUUAGAUAGUUGGUGGGAUAACGGCCUACCAAGUCGACGAUCAGUAGCCGACCUGAGAGGGUGACCGGCCACAUUGGGACUGAGACACGGUCCAGACUCC